AUUGAACGCUGGCGGCAUGCCUUACACAUGCAAGUCGAACGGUAACGCGGGGCAACCUGGCGACGAGUGGCGAACGGGUGAGUAAUGCAUCGGAACGUGCCCAGUUGUGGGGAGUAACUGCUCGAAAGAGCAGCUAAUACCGCAUACGACCUGAGGGUGAAAGCGGGGAGUCGCAAGACCUCGCGCAAUUGGAGCGGCCGAUAUCAGAUUAGGUAGUUGGUGGGGUAAAGGCCUACCAAGCCUACGAUCUGUAGCUGGUCUGAGAGGACGACCAGCCACACUGGGACUGAGACACGGCCCAGACUCCUACGGGAGGCAGCAGUGGGGAACCUUGCGCAAUGGACGAAAGUCUGACGCAGCCAUGCCGCGUGAAUGAUGAAGGUCUUCGGGUUGUAAAGCUCUUUCAGACGGAAAGAAACGCAUCGGUGAAUACCCGGUGUGGAUGACGGUACCGUAAGAAGAAGCACCGGCUAACUACGUGCCAGCAG
rnacentral:rRNA from 1 species